CGCAUUGUAACAUACCCCAUACCAGUCUGCAUUUCCGGGUCCAUGCCAGAAAAUUUAGUGAUAGUCAGCAGAUUCUCACCCGAAAAAUAUAUACGUACUUUAUUGGCAUAAAACUUCUGUGUCCAUGCCUGUGGAAGUGUAUAACCAAUAGUCAGAUUACGUAGCUUCAAGAAGUUUCCUUUUUCAAGAUGCAGCGUACUAGCUUCUGUAGCCUGGUUAGUUUGGUUAAGUGUCAAGCGAGAGUUUUUCGAAUAUAAAUUGGUACGAGGAUCAUUGGGAUUCUCCGGAUCAUAAAAAUAAUGAUCUUUUUGAAGUUCUUUCGACAGUCCAUAACCCAAAAUUGUGGAUGUAGAAUUCUGUCCUACCGAAUACCAAUAAAUAGAAAAUCCUGCUGCCCCUUGCCAAUUCAUAGAAACAUCAAACCCCUUCCACGUUACUGCUCCUUGUAAUCCAUAAUAAUAUUUCGGAACGGAUGAUACCUUCUGAAAUUUCUUAUCAUAAUCAUUUCCAUAAAGUCCAUCUCCAUUUAUAUCUGCAUAAAUAUAGUCACCAUACCAUAAAUUGGCCUUCCCAAUCUUCUGGUUAGGAUAAAACACAUAACCCUGAUCUUGCAUCGCUUUCAACCACUGCAUAUCUUGCUCUGUACGAAUCAUCCCAUCUUUAGGACCUCCUGUGGGAUUAACCAAUCCAUUGUUAAAAAAGUAAGUAGCAUCUCCUUUAUAAGGUUCCUUUAAAUAAUAUUCAUUUAUGAUAUGUCCCUCAAUUAUCCUGUUAUCUCCUCCAUCAGAAACAUCCCCUAAAUUUGAUUUAUAGAUAUAACUACCAUUUUCAUCAUACUCCCAACCUUUUUUUAAGGCCCCUUUAAACUUACUAACAAGAUUCUUGUUAUAAGAGAAAUUUCCAGAGAAAGAAUAGGACCAUUCAUUAACACGAUCAUUCCAAUUUAAUGUGAACUCAACUCCCUUAUUAGUAACCUCUGCAUAAUUUUGCCGAGCCGGUGUCUUGUUUCCCAUAGUUGCAUAAACGCCCGGACGAUAGAGAACACUCAUUCAAAGAGUGCGUAACAGCUCACUGGUCGAGUGAAAUUGCGCGGAAAAUUACCGGGGCUAAGCUAUACACCGAAAUUGCGGAUUCAAGGAUUUAUCCUUGAGUGGUAGAGGAGCAUUCUGUUGUAGGUUGAAGUAUGACCGUAAGGACAUGUGGACGAAGCAGAAGAGAGAAUGCUGGAAUAAGUAGCGAGAGCAAGGUGAGAAUCCUUGCCGUCGAAAGUCUAAGGUUUCCUGGGGAAGGUUCGUCCGCCCAGGGUUAGUCGGGACCUAAGGAGAGGCCGAGAGGCGUAUCUGAUGGACAGCAGGUUGAUAUUCCUGCACUAUAGAUAUACUUAAAAGAUGCAAGGGACGCAGAAGUGGAAGGAAUGCGAGGAAGAGGAAAAACUCGUAUCGAAAGAUAUAGUGAAAAUAAAGUAACGAAUUUCCAAGAAGCACGCUGACGAGAAAAGCUUGUAGAUAUUGUAUAUAAAUACCCGUACCGCAAACCGACACAGGUAGAUGAGGAGAGGAUCCUAAGACGAGCGGGAGAAGCAUUGUUAAGGAACUCGGCAAAUUGACCCCGUAACUUCGGAAUAAGGGGUGCCUAUGUAAAAGUAGGCCGCAGAGAAUAGGCCCAAGCAACUGUUUAACAAAAACACAGGUUUCUGCUAAAUCGAAAGAUGAAGUAUAGGAGCUGACGCCUGCCCAGUGCUGGAAGGUUAAGGGGAAGAGUUAAGACUUGAUCUGAAGCUUAGAACCAAAGCCCCAGUGAACGGCGGCCGUAACUAUAACGGUCCUAAGGUAGCGAAAUUCCUUGUCAGGUAAGUUCUGACCCGCACGAAAGGCGUAAUGAUUUGGGCACUGUCUCGACAAUGUACCCGGCGAAAUUGUAGUACUAGUGAAGAUGCUAGUUACCUGCGACAAGACAGAAAGACCCCAUGGAGCUUUACUGCAGCUUGAUACUGGGUUUCGGUAAUUUAUGUACAGGAUAGGUGGGAGACUAUGAAGUUAUGGCGUCAGCCGUAAUGGAGUCAUCGUUGGGAUACCACCCUUAAGUUAUUGAAAUUCUAACUUGUGAUCAUGAACUGGUCAGAGGACAAUGUCAGGCGGUGAGAGAAAACGGAUUCCUUCCGGCUCCGGUGCACGUGGUGUCAUCCAUUUUGGGUUCCAGCCAAUAUCCGGCUCUUCUUCCGGCAUCCACACCGGAAGAUCCGGUUUUUUCUGCAGAACCGAAGGUCCCUUUAAACCGUUUACGACCGGCCAGCCAUCCGCCGUCCAGCUGAUCGGAUCAAGCGCCGUCUCCCUGCCAAGCAUACUGUAACCAUCUCCGAUCAUCCUGCCGCAGAGAUAUACCAUAUACCACUCCCCGUUCUGUGUGCAGACCGGCUUUCCAUGACCACAUCUCUGGAUUGCUGCCCCCCCAUCCAUCUGCCGCAUGAUCGGGUUGUAUGGACACGGUUCAUAAUUUCCCAUAAGUGUCUUACUUCUCGCAACAGAAAUCCUGUGUCCCAUUCCGGUUCCUCCUUCUGCCAAGAACAGAUAAUAAUAACCGUCUUUUUUUAACAGAUGUGGUCCUUCCGGCGCACGUUUCUGAUCUCCGUAAUAUAACAAUUUUGCCUCAGAGAU
rnacentral:rRNA from 1 species